rnacentral:tRNA from 1 species
UAUUCUAUAGUCAAUAUAAUGAUAUCAGAUUGCAAAUCUGAAGUAGUAAUUUACUAGAAUUU